AGCCCUAGCUGAGCUGCCCAUCCGGAGUAGUGCGUUCUCGGGUCGGUCUGCACCCCCACCUCACCCCACCCCUGUUCUUGUCCGGGCCACCUCCCCAAAGCAGCCACAGGGCACUUUCUGCAGUGCCAACCUGGGUUAAAAAUCCCCGAGGCUCUCCUUUGUACACCAAAAACAGCAAAUCUUUCCUCUUGACCUCCAUGUUCCAACAUCAUUUGGACAACCCAUCCAGCCCCCUUUGUACCUCCAUUUCUGCCCCCCCCACCCCAAUUGCUGAAAUGUAUCUGUUUUUGCCUCCCUCCCUUCAAACUGGCAGUUCCUUUUGGCUACUGUUACCUCCUGGACUGGCUAACAUUCAUUAAAGUAAUUCAGGGGUC